AACUUUCAACAACGGAUCUCUUGGUUCUCGCAUCGAUGAAGAGCGCAGCGAAAUGCGAUACCUAGUGUGAAUUGCAGCCAUCGUGAAUCAUCGAGUUCUUGAACGCACAUUGCGCCCGUCGGUAUUCCGGCGGGCAUGCCUGUCUGAGCGUCG
rnacentral:rRNA from 1 species